rnacentral:sRNA from 1 species
ACUUCUGGACAUUUCCCGCGAAAUUAUCGGAACCCCUCCUAUUUCUGUUUUGUGAAAAUGCCUCCAAGAAAGCGGAAAACUGUCCCAAAAACUACCAACGCAUCAGAGGAGACUGUUGCUGAGAAGAAAGCCAAAUCUAGCGCCCCUGUUCCAAGAGUUGUCAUUGAACACUGCAAAUCCUGACAGGUGUACAAGAGGAAGGCCACAGCUCUGGCUGAGGCAAUAAAGGCAGAGGUUGAGGAUAUUCACAUUGAAUAUAAUCCCUCUGCUCCAAGAAGAGGAAGUUUUGAAGUCACUUUGAUAGUGGAAGAUGGAGAAACUCAAGAAGUCUUGCUUUGGAGUGGUAUUAAAAAGGGCCCACCCAGAAAACUUAAGUUUCCAGAGGAUCACAAAUUAAUUACAGAGAUGAUGAAGAAAAACUUGAAUGCAUAGAUUUACCGUAUAUUUGUUCAACAUGACUUUUCUCCUCUUUUGAGCUUUGUUUUUGCUAUUUCCUGUAAAUGAAGGAUUCCAUGUAAACUUUGCUUUAUUUUGCAAAUCAUGGAAACUUGAUGUAAAAGACAGCGAAAAUACGCAAAUAAUGCUCGAAACAAUGUUCCAAUUGUAAAUUAGGUGUGGAAUCUGUUUUUUGUAGUGCAAGAUUCAUAAUUGGUUACAAUAUAUUAAAAUACCUGAUAC